rnacentral:rRNA from 1 species
AGUGAACGCUGGCGGUAGGCCUAACACAUGCAAGUCGAACGGCAGCACAGUAAGAGCUUGCUCUUACGGGUGGCGAGUGGCGGACGGGUGAGGAAUACAUCGGAAUCUACUUUUUCGUGGGGGAUAACGUAGGGAAACUUACGCUAAUACCGCAUACGACCUACGGGUGAAAGCAGGGGAUCUUCGGACCUUGCGCGAUUGAAUGCGCCGAUGUCGGAUUAGCUAGUUGGCGGGGUAAAGGCCCACCAAGGCGACGAUCCGUAGCUGGUCUGAGGGGAUGUACAGCGACUCUGGAGCUGAGCCGCGACCCAGGCUCUGACGGGCGGCAGCGGUGGGUACUAUUGGCCACUGGGCGCAAUCCUGCUCCAUCCACACCGCGUGGGUGAAGAAGGCCUUCGGGUUGUAUAGCCCUUUUGUUGGUAAAGAAAAGCAGCAGGUUAAUACCCCGCUGUUCUGCCGGUACCCAAAGAAUAAGCACCGCCUACCUCCGU